GAUUUAAAAUAAUCUCAAGCUGCAUCCACAGAUACAAAAAAAUAUAGGAGCCAUGAAAUGAAGUUAAACACCUUGUAGAAAGCCUACUUUCAAGUAAAUAUAGCAUUCCUUUGGCAAAAAGAAAAAAAAAGUAAAAGAAAAGAAAAAAAAAUGUAUUACCACCCGAUGAGCCUACGUCUUUCUUUCUGAAGUUUAAACAACCACAGUCAUGUUUAUGGUUGUUGGAUGUGCCACUUCCAAUCCAAAAGAAGCACACUUGUCUCCCUCUGUUGCCCUGGCUGGAGUUCAGUGACAUGAUCUCAGGCUUACUACAGCCUCCACCUUCAGGUUCAAGUGAUUCUCCUGCCUCAGCCUCUCUGGUAGCUGGGAUUACAGGACUACCAUGAAGAUGGAUUGGACAUUAUACCACACUGGAAAAGUGAAACAUCUCAUUCAGUUGGUGAUCUUCCUGUCAUGAAAGUUGCUUGACAGCUCUAAUUACAAAUUGAACACAUUAAACACCUGGUGAAAUUAUCAAUUAAAAACAUCUACUCA
rnacentral:lncRNA from 1 species